UACGGUCAUAUCAUAUUGAAAUAACGGCUCUCGUCCGCUCACCGAAGUUAAGCAACGUCGAGCUUGGUCAGUACUUAGAUGGGUGUUCGUUUUGGAAUACUAGGAGCUGUAAG